AGACAUGCCGUUAUCAGUCAUUAA
rnacentral:siRNA from 1 species